AUGAAUGUGCCCCUUCUCCCAUCUGACGCUGUUUUUGCUUCCCCCUUCUAUCCCCAGAUGCAACAAUUCUCGACUGUUUGGAGUUCCUCCGUCCAGUGCUCUGUGUUGGACCCUAAGUGCACACCACUGAAUGUGAAACAUUGUUCUGCAACUUGCUUUCUUCUCUUUCCAUAUCUUGGAGGAAAGCGAGACCUCCAUGAAAUAGCAGGCAUAUACUUACUUUGGAAAUAUGCAGCAUCUUGUAAGUAGCAUAUUCAAAAGCAGACAUUACUUUGCCAACAAAGGUCUGUCUAGUCAAGGCUACGGUUUUUCCUGUGGUCAUGUAUGGAUGUGAGAGUUGGACUGUGAAGAAGGCUGAGUGCUGAAGAAUUGAUGCAUUUGAACUGUGGUGUUGGAGAAGACUCUUGAGAGUCCCUUGGACUGCAAGGAGAUCCAACCAGUCCAUUCUGAAGGAGAUCAGCCCUGGGAUUUCUUUGGAAGGAAAGAUGCUAAAGCUGAAACUCCAGUACUUUGGCCACCUCAUGCGAAGAGUUGACUCAUUGGAAAAGACUCUGAUGCUGGGAGGGAUUGUGGGCAGGAGGAGAAGGGGAUGACAGAGGAUGAGAUGGCUGGAUGGCAUCACUGACUCGAUGGACAUGAGUCUGAGUGAACUCCGGUAGUUGGUGAUGGACAGGGAGGCCUGGCGUGCUGCGAUUCAUGGGGUCGCAAAGAGUCGGACACGACUGAGCGACUGAACUGAACUGAACUGAACUGUAAGAGCUGGAUUAGAAUGUUAGGAAACUUGACAAUCAAAACCAUAAUGACCUCAUGAGAUAACACUUGAUCUUUGCCGCAAAGUAUAUCAACUACAUAGAUACUUCACAGAUGGAUUUUGUUCCUUUGGUUUUCAAGACCUAUAAUUUCUUGAUGUAAGUCUUGUGAGAAAUCACCUGUCUUAACAUGUUCAAAGAUUUCUAACUUGACUUAGAUGUGAUUUGGCUUGAAAUAGGAUAUGUGGUUUGUAACCAAUCCAUAACUGGAAGAAAUCUGAACAGAGACAUUGAUUCAAACAUAUCAGAAUGACCACAUAUUCACUGGUCUCACUGACUUGGGAAUAAAUUUUCUCUGUGCCAUGUAUAUUUUCUUAAC
rnacentral:lncRNA from 1 species